AAGUGAUGCAGCUACAGGCCAAAGAAAACCAAGGAUUGCCGGGAACCACCAGAAACUACAAAGAAACAAGGGUGGACUUAGAGAAAGCAUGGCCCUGCUGUCAUCUGGAUUUCAGACUUCUAGAUUCCAGAAAUGUGAAGGAGUAAUUAUUUGUUGUUUUAAGCUACCAAGUUUGUGGUAAUUUGUGACAGCAGCCCUAGGAAACCCUAGGAAUUACAGUCACCCACUUUUAAAACAAUGGCGCUCUGGUCUACAAGACGCCAUAGUCUGGCAUCCUCAAGUGUCUGAAGAUGCUAAUAAUGAUAACGUUUAUUGGACAUUUACACACCUAACACUGUGUUAAGUGUAUUAUAUACAUUAUUUCCUUUAACCUUCAUAUCUGAAUACACUAGGCUUAAUUACUAACUCAUUACAGAAGGGAACAUGGAAGCUUAGAGUGGUUAAGUAAGAUGUGUAAGAUUGCACAGCUAAUAGAGGAUGUCAGCAUUGAACACCAUCUCUUGGGCCUCUUCCUCUUUGUCUUUCUUUUUUUCUUUUACCCUGAAACAGGGUCUUGCUGCUGUUGCCCAGGUUGGAAUGCAGUGGAACAAUCAUAGCAUACUACAGUCUUGAACUCCCGGGCUCAAGCGAUCCUCCUGUAUCAGCCUCCCAAGUAGUUGGGUCUACAGGUGCACCACUAUGCCAGGCUUCCUCUUUGUCCUUUAAAACCUUCUCCCAUCCAAAGUGCAGCCCACAUUCCCUGUCCUCUAAAAAUUUUCCAGGGCCUUCUAGGCCACAGUGGUCCAUCUUUCUUCUUUAAACUUGGCACUCAUUGUACUGUUGCUUGGCUCUAAAAUAUACUGAGGAUUAUUCUGGAUGUCAUUUGGCUUUUUAAAACAUUGUCUUUGCCUCCAACUGAAUAUUAAUUACAUGCAGGUAUGUGCCACGUAUCUAAGCAUUGAGACUUCACCUACCCUUAUUUCUCUAGGUAGAAACCUAUCAUUAUAGUCCUCAUCAGAUUAUAUGCAAGUAGAUGCUUGACAUUUGCAAUUUGACUGUUUUCAAAUAAGUUGGAAGUUUAUCUGAGACUCUUGAUUUCAAUUGCGUGUGUAAAAGAAGUCAGCUAGGGGCUGAGAGCCCGGCUAAUCAAUUUAAAUGUGGCUUUAUUUGUUCAUUGUUGGUCUAUGUUGUAUUAAUUUUUGUUAAAUGACUAAAAUUUGGUUUGAAAGGUCCAUGAAAAUAACACAUCUGGGGCAGAAAAUCAUUUUGGGCAAGAAAUUAAAUUUUGUAAUUUAGGGUGGAAAACUGAGCCUCACAGUGAGAUUUAUGUGCCGGGCCCUCUGUACAAAGAUAUGAUGUGUCAUGUGCUCUGUUAAGUGCUCUAGCAGUGUAAAAGUCACUGAAGUGAGAAAUUCGUUUGAAAAGGUUUAGCUAUAUGGUGGUUCACUACUGAUUUGGGGCACAGAAAACAAUCUGAUUUAACUGACCCAGGAGCCUAGUCAAACAAUGCCACAUUCACAGAUUUGGUGAUUCACAUUGUCUUGGAAUAUUCCGUGAGAUAUCAGGUGUCAAGAGCCAAGUAAGUAACAUCAAUGAGCAAAAGGGCAGAAUUCAAGAAAAUAGCAUCAGCACACUGAUACCUGCCAACUGACACCUGCACCUGGCUUCAGUGUUACACAAUUAACAGGGGGUGGAGGGAAUCGU
rnacentral:lncRNA from 1 species